rnacentral:rRNA from 1 species
UACGAAGGGAGCUAGCGUUGUUCGGAAUCACUGGGCGUAAAGCGCACGUAGGCGGAUUUGUCAGUCGGGUGUGAAACCUCCAGGCUCAACCUGGAGACGCCACCUGAUACUGCUGCGGCUGGAGUCCGGUAGGGGAGCGUGGAAUUCCUGGUGUAGCGGUGAAAUGCGCAGAUAUCAGGAGGAACACCAGCGGCGAAGGCGGCGCUCUGGGCCGGUACUGACGCUGAGGAGCGAAAGCGUGGGUAGCAAACAGG